UGUGAAUAAAGGAAUCAGCCUGGUGUGCCCUAACAGCCCCUCCUCAGAGCCAAACUGAAGCCAGCUGAGACUGAAGGAACCAAGAUUUCCCCAGGGAUGUUCAUGCCCAAACCCAGGGAGAGAAAGAAGGGGACGGUGACGUGUAGGGAGAGCAGUGGCCACGGACCCUGCCUACUGUACUGUGAGCACAGCCCAGGAUAUGACUUUGACCCAGACAAGCUCAUGCUCAUCCUGGCAAAACUGAGGCCCACGUCCACAGCAAACCUUUCCCACUGGCUGCAUCUACACCACUGAUGGCUGCAUCUUACUUGGACAGAGGUGGCAUUGCCAGCCCUGAAUAAAUUGGCACCACGGUCACAGAUUUAGCCUGGCUGGAAAAGGAAAGAGCUGCAGCACUCUGUGGGCAGGCAAGAGCUGCACCCCAUGUGGUCCAUGGAUGUCCCAGCCUAAAAUGCCUGAGCACCUAUAAACUGCUUCUACCCCCAUUAAAUUGGUUGUAUUAUAUUGCUGCUAUGUUAUGCUCCUCAUUUUUAAACUAACUUCUAGUCUAAACU